rnacentral:rRNA from 1 species
GUCGAGAAUCUUUCACAAUGGGGGCAACCCUGAUGGAGCGACGCCGCGUGGAGGAUAAGGUCUUCGGAUUGUAAACUCCUGUCAUGCGUGAACAAGGUUGCUUGGAUAAUACCUGAGCAAAUUGAUGGUAGCGCAAGAGGAAGAGACGGCUAACUCUGUGCCAGCAGCCGCGGUAAUACAGAGGUCUCAAGCGUUGUUCGGAAUCACUGGGCGUAAAGGGUGCGUAGGUGGCGUGGCAAGUCAGAUGUGAAAGCCCGGGGCUCAACCUCGGAACUGCAUCCGAUACUGCCAUGCUAGAGUACUGGAGAGGUGACUAGAAUUCUCGGUGUAGCAGUGAAAUGCGUAGAUAUCGAGAGGAAUACCAAAGGCGUAGGCAGGUCACUGGACAGUUACUGACACUGAGGCACGAAGGCCAGGGGAGCGAACGGGAUUAGAAACCCGAGUAGUCC